rnacentral:rRNA from 1 species
AUUGAACGCUGGCGGCAGGCCUAACACAUGCAAGUCGAACGAGUGGCGGACGGGUGGGUGAUGUCUGGGAAACUGCCUGAUGGAGGGGGAUAACUACUGGAAACGGUAGCUAAUACCGCAUACCAUCGGAUGUGCCGAGAUGGGAUUAGGUAGUAGGGGGGGGAACGGCUCACCUAGGCGACGAUCCCUAGCUGGGCUGAGAGGCUGACCGGCCACACGGGAACUGAGACACGGCCCAGACUCCGACGGGAGGCAGCAGUGGGGAAUAGUCUCCAAUGGGCGCAAGCCUGAUGCAGCCAUGCCGCGUGUAUGAAGAAGGCUUUCGGGUUGUAAAGUACUUUUAGCGGGGAGGCGGUACCCGCAGAAGAAGCACCGGCUAACUCCGUGCCAGCAGCCGCGGUAAUAC